rnacentral:rRNA from 1 species
UACGUAGGGGGCAAGCGUUGUCCGGAUUCACUGGGUGUAAAGGGCGCGUAGGCGGGUUAGUAAGUUAGAGGUGAAAUCCUACGGCUCAACCGUAGAACUGCCUCUAAUACUGCUAAUCUUGAGUGCAGAAGAGAGAAGCGGAAUUCCAGGUGUAGUGGUGAAAUACGUAGAUAUCUGGAAGAACACCAGUAGCGAAGGCGGCUUCUUGGUCUGUUACUGACGCUCAGGCGCGAAAGCGUGGGGAUCAAACAGGAUUAGAUACCCUGGUAGUCCACGCUGUAAACGAUGAAUACUAGGUGUCGGGUUUUAUACUCGGUGCCGCAGCUAACGCAUUAAGUAUUCCACCUGGGGAGUACGAUCGCAAGGUUGAA